rnacentral:rRNA from 1 species
CAGGAUUAGAUACCCUGGUAGUCCACGCCGUAAACGAUGUCUACUAGCUGUAGGGGUACUUGAGACCUUUGUAGCGCAGCUAACGCACUAAGUAGACCGCCUGGGGAGUACGGCCGCAAGGUUAAAACUCAAAUGAAUUGACGGGGGCCCGCACAAGCAGUGGAGCAUGUGGUUUAGUUCGAUGCAACGCGAAGAACCUUACCAGGCCUUGACAUCCUCGGAACUUUCUAGAGAUAGAUUGGUGCCUUCGGGAACCGAGUGACAGGUGCUGCAUGGCUGUCGUCAGCUCGUGUCGUGAGAUGUUGGGUUAAGUCCCGUAACGAGCGCAACCCUUGUCCUUAGUUGCCAGCACAUAAUGGUGGGAACUCUAAGGAGACUGCCGGUGACAAACCGGAGGAAGGUGGGGACGACGUCAAGUCAUCAUGGCCCUUACGGCCUGGGCUACACACGUGCUACAAUGGCUAGGACAGACGGCCGCAAACCCGCGAGGGGGAGCCAAUCCGACAAACCUAGUCGUAGUCCGGAUCGGAGUCUGCAACUCGACUCCGUGAAGUCGGAAUUGCUAGUAAUCGCGGAUCAGAACGCCGCGGUGAAUACGUUCCCGGGUCUUGUACACACCGCCCGUCAUACCAUGGGAGUGGGUUUCACCAGAAGUAGCUAGCCCAACCUUCGGGGAGGCGGUUACCACGGUGAGAUUUAUGACUGGGGUGAAGUCGUAACAAGGUAGCCGUAUCGGAAGGUGUGGCUGGAUCACCUCCUU